AUGUAUUUUACACCCAUGUUCUGAACCUCUAUCAGAAGAGAGGUACCAACUAAAAUUACAAAGGUGUUCAUUCUAUCUAAAUGACGCUCUUGAGAUAGCGCAACCAAGCUGGAAUUCCGAUAUUUAUUUCUGGCCACGUAAAUAUCCUCACAAUAUCCCAAUACCAACAAGCCCCGACAGAAAAUUGUCUGGAUACUUAGUAUUUAGUUUUAUGCUUUCAUGGGAUGGUAAAAGAUUUGUUCAUCCAGUUUGCAGCGAUGGUUACGAGCUAAGGAAAAAGUUUUUGAUACACAUACUCAAGUAUCUGGCUAAUGAAGUUGAAGACAACAUUCCUGAGAUCGUGCGAGAAUACCUUAGACGCGUCAACGGACCAUGACUUUAAUAAAUAGUGUAUUCAG